GAUGAACGCUAGCGGGAGGCCUAACACAUGCAAGCCGAGCGGUAUUGUUUCUUCGGAAAUGAGAGAGCGGCGUACGGGUGCGUAACACGUGUGCAACCUGCCUUUAUCUGGGGGAUAGCCUUUCGAAAGGAAGAUUAAUACUCCAUAAUAUAUUGAACGGCAUCGUUUAAUAUUGAAAGCUCCGGCGGAUAGAGAUGGGCACGCGCAAGAUUAGCUAGUUGGUGAGGUAACGGCUCACCAAGGCGAUGAUCUUUAGGGGGCCUGAGAGGGUGAUCCCCCACACUGGUACUGAGACACGGACCAGACUCCUACGGGAGGCAGCAGUGAGGAAUAUUGGUCAAUGGGUGCAAGCCUGAACCAGCCAUCCCGCGUGAAGGACGACUGCCCUAUGGGUUGUAAACUUCUUUUGGAUAGGGAUAAACCUACCCUCGAGAGGGUAGCUGAAGGUACUAUACGAAUAAGCACCGGCUAACUCCGUG
rnacentral:rRNA from 1 species